GAUGAACGCUGGCGGCGUGCCUAAUACAUGCAAGUCGAGCGAACAGACGAGGAGCUUGCUCCUCUGACGUUAGCGGCGGACGGGUGAGUAACACGUGGAUAACCUACCUAUAAGACUGGGAUAACUUCGGGAAACCGGAGCUAAUACCGGAUGAUAUAUUGAACCGCAUGGUUCAAUAGUGAAAGACGGUUUUGCUGUCACUUAUAGAUGGAUCCGCGCCGCAUUAGCUAGUUGGUAAGGUAACGGCUUACCAAGGCAACGAUGCGUAGCCGACCUGAGAGGGUGAUCGGCCACACUGGAACUGAGACACGGUCCAGACUCCUACGGGAGGCAGCAGUAGGGAAUCUUCCGCAAUAGGCGAAAGCCUGACGGAGCAACGCCGCGUGAGUGAUGAAGGUCUUCGGAUCGUAAAACUCUGUUAUUAGGGAAGAACAAAUGUGUAAGUAACUAUGCACGUCUUGACGGUACCUAAUCAGAAAGCCACGGCUAACUACGUG
rnacentral:rRNA from 1 species